ensembl:lncRNA
CGUGACGUGAGGGCUGCAGCGGUGACCUGGAAGGAGGGACUGGAACGCAGUGCAGACUCAGAGGUCUGGUCACCAGCUAGCAAGGUCAAGGACCAUGGAGAGACUCUUCAACCUCCACGUCACUCUCGAAGCAUCGUUACCCAUCGUGCCACAAAAGCCACGGCCCUUGCAGAGCAAAGGGGGAACCACUACUUCUGGGUCUCAGAGCGAGUGACGAACACCGACUUAAACACUAAUAGCGUGCACCACCGCUAACUAGCUAGCCAUUUCACAUCGGCCACACAAAGCUCUUAGAGACUUACCCAGAAUGACUC